rnacentral:rRNA from 1 species
AUGCAUCACAUCACCACGUCUACUUGGGUGACAAGGGCUUCGGUCAGAGAAUGGUGCAAUGCUAACCUUCAGAUCCGUCUCGGCUCGCCCAAGGCGCUUGCCUCCCUCACGAUGAUCAUCUCUUGGGAGGUUUGGUCGGAGCGCAAUGCUAGAGUCUUCCGCAACUCGGCGGCCCCUUUCUUGGUCAUCAUCAACAAAAUCAAACAGGAGGUGUUGCUUUGAGCUUUGGCUGGAGCGAAACAUUUGGAUGUUGUAAUGCCUUCAGAGUAG